rnacentral:lncRNA from 1 species
UGGGUAUUUCUUAUUGUAUUGAUCUGAUCCCAUCUUUGAUUUACGCUCUCUCUCUCUCUCUCUCUCUCUCUCUCUCUCUCUCUCUCUCUCUCCCUCUCUCUGUCACUCCUUCUUUCACAAGAGCCACACUGCAGGGACAGACAGAGAGAGGGGGGAGACAGAGAGAGAGAGAGAGAGAGAGAAAGAUUCAGAAAGAGUGUGAGGCAGUGAGGAAGACAGAGAGGACAGAGUGGAGAAGAGAGUGAGGGAGUGUGUGUGUGUGAGAGAGAGCGAGUGAGCAAGAGAGACGCACAUUGUCAAAUCUCUGACUCGUUUACCAGUAACAAGGCGUUAGAGGUACAUGAUAUUCUUUGGUGUGCAUUACGGCAGCAAUAUUUCUGUAACACCCUGGAAACGUGCGUAUCUGGAAAUAGUGUGAAUUCAAAACAAACCGAACGCAUUGCUGGAACCCGGGGUAAGGCAAGGACAAGCAAGAACAUCAGCGGGAUGUGUGGCGUGGACUCGGAUUUGGAUGAGGGAGGACUGGGUGAUGACGAGAGAGAUCAAGAGGAUGAGUUUGCCAUGGCUGAGGGGGUCCGCAUGCUUCCCCCUCCCACAGCGCACUGCGAGGGCAGCGUGUGGGGUGGCCGCCGGAGCCGGUGUGGCUGCCUGGUGUUUGGAGCAGGGCUGGCUCUGUGGAACUUGGGCCUGGCAGUGAUCUGUGUGCUACUGCUGGCCAGCAUCUUCGCUCUGGUGCUGCUUCCGGCUGCACUGCUUCUCUACGCUGGCUUUCUUUGCCACUCACGGGUGAUGGCAUCCCCCUCUGCUCUUUGCCAUUACCUUGAUGACAACAGCUGUUCUGCCCUCAUCAUCCUUGGCUUCAUUAUGAUGUCACCGUUGGUGGUGGUUGCUGCAGCAACCUUCUGUGGGUUGCUCCGCAGGCUUCGCCUCCUUUGGCUCUUUCAGCCAAUCAGCGGGGCAUGGUUCCGCGGCCGCAGCCUGGGUUGGAGCGGGGACCUGCGUGCUUGGGUGUGACACCACAGCAGGGAGGUCAGGGAUCUCAGAAGUCAAAGGUCAGGUUCUGAGCAGCAAGGGCUGAAUGUCACUCACAGGCUUUCGCAGUGUUUGGACCGUGCGCUUUGAUGAACACCCAUCAUAUUAUUUUAACACAGCACUUCACUCAGAUCAAUGCACUUUCCCAGGGGGAGAGUAAGUGGUCAUGCCAGCCUGUUCGAUUCAGCAUGAUUCAAUAUAAAUUACAUAUAUAUAAUGUAAACAUCCACACAUGUGGAUUACAAAUAACUGUUGUUCUGAGAGGCUUCUAAUGACUGUCAGGUGAGCUACAUUUCCACAUCCACAUCUGCAAGUAUGUUUCACCUAGCAGGCCGAGGUCAGGUGACAUGCCUGAGUUACCUCAUCUCAGAUCAUAACAAGAACCACAUUACUUUCAGGUCCUGGCUUACUAUAGAUUUGUGAGUGCCAAUUUGGUAUGCAGUGCAAAACAAUAAGCACAAUUUAAUUUACGGUUAGAAAAGGAGUAGGUGUAUUUCUAUUCGUCAUUGAACAGAUGCAACAUUUACCCUGUUAAAGGAUAAGCUUGGACAAUGUUUAGCAAGACAGGAGUUUAGUAUUUAUGCAACUUUCUAAUCAUUACAUAUAACAAUCUGACAGAUUUUGUGAUUCUUUAACUAGGCAUUGGAGGUCAGUGAGUUUUACCAGAAUUCCCCCUGAAAAGUGCAUGGUCUGAGUCUCUUUCCGUGUUAGAAUAAUGGACAAGGGUGGAGCUGGAGUAUCCCGUUUAAGAAGGGCAAGGGUAGCUUUCACAAGCACACAGUACACCAAAAGUAUGUCCAUGUGAUGUUGUAUGAAGUGUCCUUUAGUUGUCUCCAUCCAGUGGCCUACUAUUUUACUGUUCCAUUAGUUUGUUUCUGUGCAGUUUGAGAAGCACUACUUUGAAAAAAGAUAUUGUUGCUUAGAAAAGUAUUUGCUUAGAAAGCAAUCACAUUUGUGACAAAUGUGGAGUACAGUUGUGGGU